rnacentral:rRNA from 1 species
GUCCUUUUGAGGUUAAUUUAAGGUCUAACCUGCCCACUGAAUUUUUAAUGGCCGCAGUACUCUAACUGUGCAAAGGUAGCAUAAUAAUUAGUCUUUUAAUUGAAGGCUGGAAUGAAUGGUUGGACGAGGUACUUUCUGUUUCAUAUAAAUUUAUUCUAGAAUUUUAUUUUUCAGUCAAAAAGCUGAAAUUUUUUUAAAAGACGAGAAGACCCUAUAAAUCUUUACAUUUAUUUAAAAAUUUUAAGAUAAGAAGUUUUUUGGAAAUUUUUAAGAAGGUGUUUUAUUGGGGUGAUAUUAAAAUUUAAAAAACUUUUAACUUACUUAACAUUAAUUUAUGAGUAAAUGAUCCGUAUCCACGAUUAAUAAAUUAAGUUACUUUAGGGAUAACAGCGUAAUUUUUUUGGAGAGUUCAUAUCGAUAAAAAAGAUUGCGACCUCGAUGUUGGAUUAAGGAAUAAUUUUAG